GUGGGGAAUAUUGGACAAUGGGCGCAAGCCUGAUCCAGCCAUACCGCGUGGGUGAAGAAGGCCUUCGGGUUGUAAAGCCCUUUUGUUGGGAAAGAAAUCCUGUCGGUUAAUACCUGGCGGGGAUGACGGUACCCAAAGAAUAAGCACCGGCUAACUUCGUGCCAGCAGCCGCGGUAAUACGAAGGGUGCAAGCGUUACUCGGAAUUACUGGGCGUAAAGCGUGCGUAGGUGGUGGUUUAAGUCCGUUGUGAAAGCCCGGGGCUCAACCUGGGAAUUGCAGUGGAUACUGGAUCACUAGAGUGUGGUAGAGGGAUGCGGAAUUUCUGGUGUAGCAGUGAAAUGCGUAGAGAUCAGAAGGAACAUCCGUGGCGAAGGCGGCAUCCUGGGCCAACACUGACACUGAGGCACGAAAGCGUGGGGAGCAAACAGGAUUAGAAACCCCGGUAGUCC
rnacentral:rRNA from 1 species